GAGGUCUCAAGCGUUGUUCGGAUUCAUUGGGCGUAAAGGGUGCGUAGGCGGCGCGGUAAGUCGGGUGUGAAAUCUCGGAGCUUAACUCCGAAACUGCAUUCGAUACUGCCGUGCUUGAGGACUGGAGAGGAGACUGGAAUUUACGGUGUAGCGGUGAAAUGCGUAGAUAUCGUAAGGAAGACCAGUGGCGAAGGCGGGUCUUUGGACAGUUCCUGACGCUGAGGCACGAAGGUCAGGGGAGCAAACGGGAUUAGAUACCCCGGUAGUCCUGACAGUAAACGGUGCACGUUUGGUGUGGGAGGAUUCGACCCCUUCUGCGCCGGAGCUAACGCGUUAAACGUGCCGCCUGGGGAGUACGGUCGCAAGAUUAAAACUCAAAGAAAUUGACGGGGGCCCGCACAAGCGGUGGAGUAUGUGGCUUAAUUCGAUGCAACGCGAAGAACCUUACCAGGCCUUGACAUGCAUCUCUAAGUUGGUGAAAGCCAGCGAGUCCCGAAAGGGACAAUUUGCACAGGUGCUGCAUGGCUGUCGUCAGCUCGUGUCGUGAGAUGUUGGGUUAAUCACUAGUGAAUUC
rnacentral:rRNA from 1 species